rnacentral:tRNA from 2 species
GCCUCGGUAGCUCAGAUGGUAGAGCAGCGGACUGAAAAUCCGCGUGUCGGCGGUUCGAUUCCGCCCUGAGGCACCA